UACGUAGGGGGCUAGCGUUGUCCGGAAUCAUUGGGCGUAAAGCGCGUGUAGGCGGCCCGGUAAGUCCGCUGUGAAAGUCCAGGGCUCAACCCUGGGAUGCCGGUGGAUACUGCCGGGCUCGAGUCCGGAAGAGGAGUGUGGAAUUCCUGGUGUAGCGGUGAAAUGCGCAGAUAUCAGGAGGAACACCAAUAGCGAAGGCAGCUCGCUGGGACGUUACUGACACUGAGGCGCGAAAGCGU
rnacentral:rRNA from 1 species